rnacentral:lncRNA from 1 species
GCAUGCAUUAGUCUUAAAGUGUGACAACAAUUAACUCAUGCUUUUAUGUUUUCAUGCUCUAAUUUUUGGACAACAAAAAUCAGUUUCAACGACUCUAUGAAAUAGUGAAUUAAGCGAAAUUAGUGGAAAGAAACAUGUUUAGAUUGCACGACUCUACUCAUGUAUGCGUAGGUCAAUGAAUUUGACGCAUCAUGAUAAUAAAAUGGUUAAAACUUUAGCGUACAAUAUGUAACUCUGGAAUUCACCAAGAAAAUAUGAGGAAAUCUCAAAGUUUAUUAAUAAAUUAGAAUAAUAAAACAUAACCUUUAGGGACUGACCUAGGAUUUUAAAAUGAGGUAGGCUAGAUUUACCUUAUUGAACUGUUAAAUUUUUGGCUUAUGGAAUUGAUCACACAUAUAUAAUUAAAAGGCCUAUUUUACACCAAUAAUGCCAGCUAAGGUCUAACAUAAUGAACAAAAAUGAAUUAAGAGAAAAAAAUUCAUUAAAAAAAAUUCAAAAAUGAAAAUUUAUCAUCACAAAGAUAGAGUCAGAUAGACACAUGACAACUAGAGGUAACACUACAAUUAUCCAAUUAGUUCAAAUUAAUAUUUCUGCUAUAAAUGGGAUUAACAUUAAAACUAACUAUAAGAAAUAAAUAAAUAAACUCACCUGGGCUAUAGCCCAGGUUGUAUAAGUCAUAGGACCGUCCCUGAUAACCUUAGCCAUGGGUAAAAUCUGUUUAAAUACUUCUAGAAAUCCUAGGAAUAAACAAGGAAUUAAAAUAAAAAAAAUAACAAAGUUUCCAAAAACUGUAAAAACAUUAAAACUAAAUUUCAGGUUACUAAAUGAUCUUGGAUGUCCGAAAAAGCUCAUACCUUAUGACAAAGCAAUGAAUUUUACUUGUGACGGCCUAAUUCUGAGCUCGGAGCUCAAAUCUAUAGUUUGCCUUAUUUAUCUUUACACGCGCAUCUCUGCAACUCCUCUUCAAUUACUUCCUCUUCAAUUACUUCCGUCGUAUGUUCAACAUCAGAAUUAAUUUGUUGUCAAUUUAAGCAAAUCAUUGUGAUAACUUCUUUGAGAUAAUGUUUCGCUUCUGCAACAAAAACAACACCACCACGUACUCUCAGCUUUAAUCACCAUAGUUUUUAU